GCUCAGUAACACGUGGAGAACGUGCCCUUAAGUGGGGGAUAAUCUCGGGAAAUUGAGGAUAAUACCCCAUAGAUCAUGGCAUCUGGAAUGAGUCAUGGUUCAAAGUUCCGGCGCUUAAGGAUCGCUCUGCGGCCUAUCAGGUAGUAGUGGGUGUAAAGUACCCCCUAGCCUACGACGGGUAUGGGCCUUGAGAGAGGGAGCCCAGAGAUGGAUUCUGAGACACGAAUCCAGGCCCUACGGGGCGCAGCAGUCGCGAAAACUUCACAAUGGAGGCAACUCCGAUGAGGGAAUUCCUAGUGCUAUGUGCAAUUGCAUUAUAGCUUUUCUUUAGCGUAGAUAACUAGAGGAAUAAGGGCUGGGUAAGACGGGUGCCAGCCGCCACGGUAAUACCCGCAGCCCAAGUGGUGGUCGAUUUUAUUGAGUCUAAAACGUUCGUAGCCGGUUCACUAAAUCCUUGGGUAAAUCGGGAAGCUUAACUUUCCGACUUCCGAGGAGACUGGUGAACUUGGGACCGGGAGAGGCAAGAGGUACUUCUGGGGUAGGGGUAAAAUCCUGUAAUCCUAGAAGGACCACCGGUGGCGAAGGCGUCUUGCUAGAACGGAUCCGACGGUGAGGGACGAAGCCCUGGGUCGCAAACGGGAUUAGAUACCCCGGUAGUCCAGGGUGUAAACGCUGCAGACUUGGUGUUGGGGACCCUUCGGGGGUGUUCAGUGCCGGAGAGAAGUUGUUAAGUCUGCUACUUGGGGAGUACGUCCGCAAGGAUGAAACUUAAAGGAAUUGGCGGGGGAGCAC
rnacentral:rRNA from 1 species